GAUGAACGCUGGCGGCGUGCCUAAUACAUGCAAGUCGAGCGAACAGAUGAGGAGCUUGCUCCUCUGACGUUAGCGGCGGACGGGUGAGUAACACGUGGAUAACCUACCUAUAAGACUGGGAUAACUUCGGGAAACCGGAGCUAAUACCGGAUAAUAUAUUGAACCGCAUGGUUCAAUAGUGAAAGACGGUUUUGCUGUCACUUAUAGAUGGAUCCGCGCCGCAUUAGCUAGUUGGUAAGGUAACGGCUUACCAAGGCGACGAUGCGUAGCCGACCUGAGAGGGGGAUGGCAAACACUGGAAGGGAGACGCGGCCGAGACUCGAGGGGGGGGAAGAAGGGGGAAAUCUGCCGAAAGGGGCGAAGGCGGGACGGAGAAGCGCGGGGGGAGGGAUAAGGGUCUUGGUACCAAAAACCUUUGUUAUGAGGAAAAAAAAAAUGUGAAAGAAACUAGGCAGUUCUGGACGGCCCUUAAUAAGAAAGCCAGGCUAACCUAGGGC
rnacentral:rRNA from 1 species